CACACACACACACACACACACACACACACAACACAACACACACACACGCACAUACAAACACAAUCUUAUAUUAAAGAAACAUGGAAGUAUAACCUUGUCUACCAAUAUUUGAAACUUUCAGGGGAAAUUCCACUCUUACGUUAGUUUCAGGAUAACGUUGGUCUCCUUGGCACACUGCCUGACUUAUGGGCAAUAAAAAGUUCUCAUCACUUUACAAUGACCAGUACAGUCAUGAAGGGAUGGAAGCUUAAUUCAGUAACAACUGAAGAGAACAGCUGUCCACCUGCACCCUCCCUCACUCCUGUGCAGGUGGUGUGAGGACACUCACAGUAACAGCUGAAGAGAACAGCUGUAUACCCGGGUGCUCACUCCUGUGCAGGUGGUGUCAAGACUCUCUAACGGCUGAAGAGAAGAGGUGCCCACACACACUGUCACUCCUGUGCAUGGUGACAGGAUUCUCAUUACUCCUGUGGCCCUGCCAAAUAUCUUCUUCACAAAAAUCCUCCUUUUCAAAUUUUUGACCCUUUUUCUUGUGAGAUUUUGUUUAUUUUGGGGUGGGGAGUCACAGUGCGACAGUUCCGACACCUCAGUUCAGAACAGCUAUCUUCUGUUGUGUCUAGUGCCUUGGCUGGAAUGUCAUAGAGUAUUUUUAUACUUAUUAAAAUUUUCAUUCAUUGAAUGACUUAUUAAGUACAUUUCAACAGAUACUGAAUACAUUAAAAUGUUUCAAGUAUUUAAUAAAUUAAAAUUAAGCCACUAAAAUAAUGUGAGAGAAAGUUACAAAGAACACUUGAAUUCUCAAUGUUUCCUCAGGAAGAUUUGUUGAAGCAUUGAUAAACUGUUCUUUUGCCAACUGCCUAAUUUCCCUGUUCUGAAAGCUUCCAUAGGUGAACAUGCAACCAUUAAAUGUGAAAAGGGAGACUCGGUUAACGACUUCUUUAUAAAAAAUUUAAAAUCAUUUUGACGAUUUUACUUUCCAUCAUCCUGCAUUACUCUAUGAAAGGGUUAGAAGCUUACAAAAAAAAAAAAAGACAUGAAAACAAGUAGAGAAGGGAGAAUGAUCUUUCAUUGACUGUGUGGCUACUGAGUUGCUCAUACCCACACUCCAGUGGAUUUAUUUGGGGAAGCACUAACUGGACCUAAUUAUUAAAAGAAAUUAAACAAAAAUGAAGGAAGAAAAAAAAAGAAAGUGAGAAGGCAUUAAGUAAGCAGAUGAUAUUUUAGAGUAUUACAGGGAAGUCACAGUGAAGUAAGAGUGGAUAUGAUAAUAUUUCAUUGUAUAAAUGUAUAAAAAUAUCAAAUAAUUAAAUUUUAAUUAAAGCUAUGUUGGUUUUGUAGCCUGCCCUUUGUGAAUGAUUAAAGAAACAUUUAAUUAUAUGCCUAUUUUUCCAAAAUAUCAUUAUAUCUGAUUCUAAUGAUUUUAAGUACAAGCCAAGUAAUUAAUUCAAAUACUUGAAGUAUUUGAAAGGAAUAAUAAAUUCUUAGAAUUUUACACACACACACACACACACACACACACACACACACACACACCAUCAUAUGUAUCUGCACUUGUUACAUGGCAAACACUAUGUCAACAGUACUGAGAAGUGUUCAUAUGGUUUUAGCUCAACACCUCAUUCCCUUAAUCAUUUUAUCUGGAUUCUCAGGGUCUAUUCUGCACGAGGAAAUGGAGAUGAGAAUAUUGUCCUAGAAUGCUAAUAUUCCAAGGACCUUCAUUUCACUCAUAAAAUUGCUUUACUUUAAAACAAACCAAAUACUCUACUAAGGCAUGACUGUCAAAGUUCCAAACAAAUUACAAAUGUGCUUAGAAUAUAAUUCUUUUAAAUGAUUGACUUGUGCUAUAAAGACCAUUCAGUGGUUGGGAGAGUUAGCCCCGUACACAUGUACCCAUGAAAUAAGUUGACCAUCCCAUGCCUGCCUGUAACUCCAAUACCAAGAUGGACAGAAACAGGAAGAUCUCAGGACUUGCUGGCUUACAGCCUUGAGAAAAAAAAAAA